GCGCUUUUACGAAUGAGUUCUGUGCAGUUUACGUUUACGUCUUGAUUUCACUUACAACUGCAAACUAUCUUCUGCGCUUUUUUUACGGACAAGGUUCUGUGCAGUUUACGUUCACGUCUUGAUUUCAUUUACAACUGCAAACUGUCUUCUGCGCUUUUACGAACAAGGUUCUGUGCAGUUUACGUUUACGUCUUGAUUUCAUUUAGAACUGCAAACUGUCAUCUGCGUUUAGACGCAAACUGCGUUUAGACGCAAACUGC
rnacentral:lncRNA from 1 species